rnacentral:rRNA from 1 species
CAAACCAAAGCUGGCGACCGGCGCACGGGUGAGUAACACGUAUCCAACCUGCCUCAUACUCGGGGAUAGCCUUUCGAAAGAAAGAUUAAUAUCCGAUAGCAUAUAUUUCCCGCAUGGGUUUUAUAUUAAAGAAAUUUGGUAUGAGAUGGGGAUGCGUUCCAUUAGUUUGUUGGGGGGUAACGGCCCACCAAGACUACGAUGGAUAGGGGUUCUGAGAGGAAGGCCCCCCACAUUGGAACUGAGACACGGUCCAA